rnacentral:lncRNA from 1 species
UAACUAGUUCAAUCAAUUCUUGGACUCUCAUUAGAAUUUUGAGUUUUGGGCUUGCGCAGUAGAUUUUUAAUGACAUAUUUGAUGUAUGUCGACUCUUUUUGUGUUUAUUUUCUGAUAAGUGGAGCCUAUUUUAUUUUAAAAUUUAAAACUAAUAAUAGUUACUAUUACAAUAAUAAUUGCAUGCCCUACUGUUUUUUUAUUAGCUUUAUGGGUGGUUGGGUUGGAUAUUUAAAUAGCAAUUCCUGUUUAAUUAAAUCGAUUUUGUUUUAUAUUGAUUGUCCAUGAUAAAAUUACCAUGUCUGAUCAUUAAGUUUUAGUGAUGAGGAUUUGGAGAACCUCUUAGAAGUUACCGAUGUUUCCAAAAAUGUUGGAUAUUUUGAUUGUUCCACAAUCUGAUGAUAACUUAUUUUUAACAUUUGAAAAUGAGCUCAGCACUGACGAAUGAACUGUCAACUGGUUGACGAUUUGCUGUAUUCCCAUAUUUUAAAGAACAGAAAGGAGAAUCAGAAAAAAUAACUCCAAUUAAAUUUAUUACGGUAUUUCUUAGCCAUUUCUCUACUCUAAAUCCUUACUGUUUAAAAAAAAAGUCCUUCCUAAACCAAACAUUCGAAAAACAUAACCUAUACUAGCCCAAACAAAUUUAUUUACAUAUCAGUGUUGCCAGUUUAAUUUUGCAAGGGGUAAUAGAAUGUCCAAUGAAAAGGUAACAGAUUUGAAAAAAAGGUAAUAACUUUUCAAAAAAGUAGCGAUUGUUGGGUUAGGCAUAUUCUGGGCUCGAAUCUAUAUUUAGUUUAAAAAAUAAAUACAUUUUGACUGUUUAACGGAUGCCGAUAUGAAACGGAAACAUUAAACCAUCAUGCGCGAAGAAAAAGACGCCUAUUAUGAAGUGUACUACCAUUCAGUUUUUGCAGUUAAGUAUCUCAUAUAUCAAAUUGUUUGGUUCGAGGAGUAGUGUAAUAUGUUUCUUUAUCCCUACUUCAUGGCUUGGUGUUUAUUUAAUCCGAGGUUAUCUACAUUUUCAAAUUCAAAUUCUUCUAGCAAGAUGAGGUGGUCCAUUAAUAUAAAUGCUAGAUUGUGCUCAUGUAAGAAUCCUACUAAUUUAUAUUCAGCUGUUUUAACACCCCUUAAUGUCUUUAUUUCAUUAUUAUUCAAAAAUGUGGUUAUUUGUGGAGUUUUUUCUGCUUUUUUUAUAUUUGCUAUAUGAGAAGACCUCUUCUUGUGACGCUCAAAAUGAGUCAAUCCACCCUUUAAAACAAUAUUGCAUACUUUGCAAAAAGCUAAUCCUUCUGCAUUCACAUCCAAAAAAUUAUAUUUUUGCUUCCAUUCCACCUUGAACUUUUGUUUAUAGGCUUUUUUUUUCCAUUUUUGAUUUCGGCAAUGGCAUUUCUUCAUUCUCAGUUGAAGAUGAAAGCUCACACUGAGAAACAUUUGCCUUGGAUGUGGAUGGCUGUGGAUCUUGUGGGGGUGGAUUUUGCAUUAGGACCGUUGGUUUUGCUUUUUUAAUAAGGAAUCUAAAAUAAUUGUAAAUUGAAAAUAAACAACUCGCUAAUG